rnacentral:rRNA from 1 species
AGCGAACGCUGGCGGCAGGCCUAACACAUGCAAGUCGAACGAACCUUUCGGGGUUAGUGGCGGACGGGUGAGUAACACGUGGGAACGUGCCUUUAGGUUCGGAAUAACUCAGGGAAACUUGUGCUAAUACCGAAUGUGCCCUUCGGGGGGAAGAUUUAUCGCCUUUCGAGCGGCCCGCGUCUGAUUAGCUAGUUGGUUGAGGUAAUGGCUCACCCAGGCGGCGAUCGGUAGCUGGUCUGAGAGGGUAAUCCGCGACCCUGGGACUGAGGCAUGGCCCACACUACUGCGGGAGGCAGCAGUCGCGAAUCUUGCGGGAUGGGGGCAGGGGGGAUGCAGCCACACCGGGUGAAGGAUGAAGGCCUCCGGGCCGGAAAAAUCUUUAGGUUGGGAGGAAGGUAAAUGUGUUUAACCGGGGACGUCAUGACGGUACCCGGAGAAAAAGCCCCGGCUAACUUCGUG